AAUUCGUGAUGUGGACAUAUAUUCAUCAUGUCCUUGAAUCUCUCCCAGCAAGCUUGGAAGGUCUCGUCACCUUUAUGCAUGAAUUGACUAAUCUGCUCCUGCAAGU